rnacentral:rRNA from 1 species
CAGUCGCCGCGGUAACACGUUGGUGGCAAGCGUUGUCCGGAAUUAUUGGGCGUAAAGCGCGCGCAGGCGGUUUCUUAAGUCUGAUGUGAAAGCCCCCGGCUUAACCGGGGAGGGUCAUUGGAAACUGGGAAACUUGAGUGCAGAAGAGGAGAGUGGAAUUCCACGUGUAGCGGUGAAAUGCGUAGAGAUGUGGAGGAACACCAGUGGCGAAGGCGACUCUCUGGUCUGUAACUGACGCUGAGGAGCGAAAGCGUGGGGAGCGAACAGGAUUAGAUACCCGGGUAGUCCCUGUCUCUUAUAC